UGACCCUAGGUCAGACGGGGCUACCCACUGAGUUUAAGCAUAUCAAUAAGUGGAGGACAAGAAACUUAUGAGGAUUCCCUUAGUAACGGCGAGCAAACCGAGAAGAGCGCAGCUUGAGAAUCGGGUGGCUUUGUCAUUCAAAUUAUAGUCUAUAAAAACAUCCUUAGCGGUGGACCGGGCCCAAUUCCCCUGGAAGGGGGCACCGGAGAGGGUGAGAGCCCCGUCGUGUCCAGACCCUAUCGUACCACGAGGCACUGUCUGUGAGUCGGGUUGUUUGGGAAUGCAGCCCCAAUUGGGCGGUAAAUUCCAUCCAAGGCUUAAUAUGGGCGAGAGACCGAUAGAGAACAAGUACAACGAGGGAAAGAUGAAAAGGACUUUGAAAAGAGAGUCAAAGAGUGCUUGAAAUUGUCAGGAGGGAAGCAGACGGGGGCCGGUGAUGCGUCUCGAUUGAUUACGAAAUGGUUAAUAGCCAGUCCACCACUCGACUCGGGGUGUGGACUGAUGUGGAUUGCGGCGGUGUCCCAAGCCUGGGUUGUCGCAUUAUGCCUGAGGAGAUGUCAUCAUCGUGAUCGUGGUAGGUAGCGUGUGCUUCAAUGGCAUGCCUAUUGGCAACUGCAUGCUUCGGGCUCCACAUUUAACUCGUAAGGCAUAAGGAAGCUGACUGGUGGGACCCCCUUAUGGGUUGCACCGCCGAUCGACCUUGAUCUUCUAUGAAGGGUUCAAGUGAUAGCAUACCUGUCGGGACCCGAAAGAUGGUGAACUAUGCCUGAGCAGGGCGAAGCCAGAGGAAACUUUGGUGGAGGCCCGUAGCGAUACUGAUGUGCAAAUCGUUCAUCUGACUUGGGUAUUGGGGCAAAAGACUAAUCGAACCGUCUAGUAGCUGGUUCCCUCCGAAGUUUUCCUCAGGAUAGCUAGAUUCUACGGGCGAGUUCAUCGGGUAAAGCCAAUGAUUAGAGGCAUCGGGGGCGCAACACCCUCGACCUACUCUCAAACUUUAAAUAGGUAGGACGGCGUGGUGGCUUCGUUGAGCCACGCCAUGGAAUUGAGAGCUCCAAGUGGGCCAUUUUUGGUAAGCAGAACUGGUGAUGCAGGAUGAACUGAAAGCUGGGUUAUGGUGCCGGAUUACAUGCUAACCUAGAACCCACAAAGGGUGUUGGUCGAUUAUGAUAGCAAAACAUUGGUCAUGGAAGUUGAAAUCCGCUAAGGAGUGUGUAACAACUCACCUUCCGAAUCAACUAGCCUCGAAAAUGGAUGGCAAUGAAGCGCGCAACCUAUACCAGGCCGUCGGGAAAACUACCAGGCCCCAAUGAGUAGGAGGGCACAGCGGUCACCGUAAAACCUGGGACGUAAGCCCGGGCAGAGCGACGUCAGUGCAGAUCUUGGUGGUAGUAGCAAAUAUUCAAAUGAGAACUUUGAAGGCCGAAGAGGGGAAAGGUUCCAUGUGAACGACACUUUCACAUUGGUUGGUCGAUCCUAAGGGAUGGGGCAAGCCCGUCAGAGAGCGUGUACGUGUGUGUGCUCUGAAAGGGAAUCGAGUUUAAAUUCCAGAAUUAGGACGUGGCGGUCGACGACAACGUUAGGGAGUCUAGAGACGUCAGUGGUGGUAUCGGGAAGAGUUAUCUUUUCUGUUUAACAGCCUGCCCACCCUGGAAAUGGCUCAGCUGGAGGUAGGGUCCAGUUGCUGGAAGAGCACCGCACAUCACAUGGUGUCUGAUACACCCCGGGUGGCCAUUGAAAAUCUGGAGGACCGAGUGCCGACCACGCCCUGUCGCACUCAUAAUUGCAUCAGGUCUCUGAGGAGAACAAUCUUUGGUCGAUGGAAUAAUGUAGGCAAGGGAAGUCGGAAAAAUGGAUCCGUAACCUUGGGAAAAGGAUUGGCUCUGAGGGCUGGGCACGGGGGUCCCAGUCCUGAACCCAUCGGUUGUCGGUGGAUUGGUCGAGCUGCUUUCACGAUGAGAGCGGGUCGAAGCAUGCCGAUCAGGGGACGAACUGGGAACGGCCCCUUGGGGGCCUUCCCUGGGCGUCGAACAGUCGACUCAAAACUAGUACAGACAAGGGGAAUCCUACUAUUUAAUUAAAAAAAAGCAUUACGAUGGUCCUUGCCGAUGCUCACGUAAUGUGAUUUCUGCCCAGUGCUCUGAAUGUCAAAGUGAAGAAAUUCAACCAAACGCGGGUAAAUGGCAGGAGUAACUAUGACUCUCUUAAGGUAGCCAAAUGCCCCGUCAUCUAAUUAGUGACACGCAUGAACGGAUUAACGAGAUUCCCCCUAUCCCUGUCUACUAUCCAAUGAAACCACAACCAAAGGAAUGGGCUUGGCAGAAUCAGUGAGGAAAGAAGACCCUAUUGAGCUUGACUCUAGUCCGACUAUGUGAAAUGACUUGAGAGGUGUAGGAUAAGUGGGAGCUGAAAACGGCGCAAGUGAAAUACCACUACUUUUAACGUUAUUUUACUUACUCUGUGAGUCGAAGGUGGGGCUCUGCCUCUCCUUUUGGACCUAAGGCCCACCUCAAUGGGGAGAUCUGGAUGGAGGACAUUGUCAAGUGGGGAGUUUGGCUAUUGUAGCACAUUUGUUAAAAGAUAACGCAGGUGUCAGAAGAUGAGCUCAAUGAGAACAGAAAUCUUGUGUGGAACAAAAGGGUAAAAGCUCGUUUGAUUCUGAUUUCCAGUACGAAUAUGAACCGAGAAAGCAUGGCCUAUCGAUCCUUUAGACCUUCAGAUUUUAAAGCUAGAGGUGUCAGAAAAGUUACCACAGGGAUAAAUGGCUUGUGGCAGCCAAGCAUUCAUAGCGACGUUGCUUUUUUAUCCUUCAAUGUCGGCUCUUCCUAUCAUUGCGAAGCAGAAUUCACCAAGUGUUAGAUUGUUCUCCCACCAAUAGGGAACGUGACCUGGGUUUAGACCGUUGUGUGACAGGUUAGUUUUACCCUACUGAUGAUAGUGUCACGAUAGUAAUUCAACCUAGUACGAGAAGAACCGUUGAUUCACACAAUUGGUCAUUGUGAUUGGUUGAAAAGCCAGUGGCACAAAGCUACCGUGUGCCGGAUUAUGACUGAACGUCUCUAAGUCAGAAUCCAGGCUAAAGAAGCGACACAUGUGCCCGUUGCCCAUUUACCGACCCACAGUUGGGGCCCUCCGACCCCCAGAGGCAUGUGUCGUUGGCCAAUUCCUAUCGGGCGAUGGGUAGAAUCCUUUGUAGACGACUUAAAUAAGCGACGGGGUAUUAUAAGUGGCAGAGUGGCCUUGCUGCCACGAUCCACUGAGAUUCAUCCCCAUAUCGCAUCGAUUCAU